CGAUUUAACGUCUGACCGCGUGCCUGUUGAAGCAUGAGCCGGCGAGUUAUAGGCAGUGGCAGGUUAAGACCCUAUGGGUUGCAGCCAAAGCGAAAGCGAGUUUGACAAGAGCGCCAGUGUGAAAGCACCCCGGAAGGGGAGUGAAAUAGAUCCUGAAACCGUGUGCCUACAAGUAGUUAGAGCCCGUUAAUGGGUGAUAGCGUGCCUUUUGUAGAAUGAACCGGCGAGUUACGAUUACGUGCAAGGUUAAGUCGAUGAGACGGAGCCGUAGCGAAAGCGAGUCUGAAUAGGGCGCAUGAGUACGUGGUC
rnacentral:rRNA from 1 species